GGCAGUAUAGUAUACAUCUUUAUGUGGCAGUAUAUAUAGGCAGUAUAGUAUACAUCUGUAUGUGGCAGUAUAUAUAGGCAGUAUAGUAGACAUCUGUAUGUGGCAGUAUAGUAUACAUCUGUAUGUGGCAGUAUAUAUAGGCAGUAUAGUAUACAUCUGUAUGUGGCAGUAUAUAUAGGCAGUAUAGUAUACAUCUGUAUGUGGCAGUAUAUAUAGGCAGUAUAGUAUACAUCUGUAUGUGGCAGUAUAUAUAGGCAGUAUAGUAUAUAUCUGUACGUGGCAGUAUAUACUUGGUUCUGGGCCUAUCAGCUGUGGGUUUCCUGUAUCAUCCCCGUUCACUCUCGUCACUUCCUG
ensembl:lncRNA